CGGAAAGACCACACGACUACUGCA
rnacentral:siRNA from 1 species